rnacentral:lncRNA from 1 species
CCUCUAUUUCUUCACGUGAGAAAUUUUUUGCAUGAAUUUUUUCUUAUGAUCAGAAGUAGUUCCAUGCCCACAUCUGAUAUCUUUUUGAAAUAGAAAUAGGUUGGUUUAAAUGGGUUUGAAUUUGAAUGAAAACCUAGAGUCCAAAUUCAGUUGGACUCUUCUCUUCACACCACCACCUUUCCCCAUGCACAAAGUAUUUUUGCAUGAGAUUUUUUGCACCAUUCUGAUGCUAGUCGACCACUU